AUUGAACGCUGGCGGCAGGCCUAACACAUGCAAGUCGAACGAGUGGCGGACGGGUGAGUAAUGUCUGGGAAACUGCCUGAUGGAGGGGGAUAACUACUGGAAACGGUAGCUAAUACCGCAUACCAUCGGAUGUGCCCAGAUGGGAUGAGCUAGUAGGUGGGGUAAAGGCUCACCUAGGCGACGAUACCUAGCGGGUCUGAGAGGAGGACCAGCGACAUUGUAACUGUGUAACUGUCCGGACUUCUACGGUAGGCAGCAGGGGGGAAUAUUGCACAAUGGGCGCAAGCCUGAUGCAGCCAUGCCGCGUGUAUGAGGAAGGCCUUCGGGUUGGUAAGUACUUUCAGCUGGGAGGCGUUACCCGCAGAAGAAGCACCGGCUAACUCCGUGCCAGCAGCCGCGGUAAUAC
rnacentral:rRNA from 1 species